rnacentral:rRNA from 1 species
GAUGAACGCUGGCGGCGUGCCUAACACAUGCAAGUCGAGCGGAAGGACGAGAAGCUUGUGUCUUUGAUGUUAGCGGCGGACGGGUGAGUAACACGUGUAUCACCCACUUAUAUUUCGGGGAGAAUUACGGGAAUCCGGAGCUAAUAGCGGAGAAUAUUUUGAACCGUAGGGUUCAAAAGAGAAUGUCGGUGUUGGUGUCACGACUAGAUGGAUCCGCGCUGCAUGAGGUAGUUGGUAAGGUAACGGCCUAUCAAGGGGACGAGGCAUAGACGACCUGUGAGGGGGAUCGGCGACACUGGAGCUGGGACACGGUCCAGGGUCCUACGGGAGGCAGCAGUAGGGAAUAGUCGGCAGUGGGCGAGAGCCUGACACAGUGACGCCGCGUGAGUGAUGAAAGCCUUCGGUGCGUAAAGCUCUCUUAUUGGGUAAAAACAGCUGUGGAAUUAGACGAAGCGAUCGUGACGGUACCUAAUCAAGAAGCACCGGCUAACUACGUG